rnacentral:lncRNA from 1 species
ACGAAAAAGAAAUAUAAUAAAAGGUCAAUAAAAGGCAAACAAAGGGCUAGCAAAAGGUACUUCUAUGUUUUGUUAAAACCUUUUAUAAGCCUUUCAUUUAGCAAAAUACUAACAAAAGACUAUUAAGGAUUUUGUGAGUAAUACAUUUUAUUUACCUUUUGUUUCAGAUACUGCCUUUUAUUAAUGUUUCAUUACACUUAUAGUUUGAAAUUUACCUUUUAUUAGCAUUGGAUUGGACUUAUAUUCUUAAAUGUUGCCAUUUGUUUGUAUUUCAUUCCACUUAGAAUCAACACGUACAUAUUUUGUUUGUAUUUCAUUACACUUGCUUUCAAAAACAAGGAGUUUUGUUCAUAUUUCAAUACAUUUGUAGGUUUGAAGGACUUGUUUCACAAAAUCUAGCAUAAACAAAUUAGUUUCAUAUUUCAUUGAUAUUGGCUAAAUACUGCUGCUGUUGUUUUGAAUUUAGAGCUACAUCUACCAUUCACUAUGUUCUUCAUAUAGAUAAUUACACUUCUGAAGAUUGCAAAGGUUUGUCAGUAAGUAAAUGGCUACUGAGCACUUGCAAAUGCAUAAUAUUCUUUAUCAUACAUAAUCAGCUUUAAGAGAGAUAUUCUGUAAACAGAGACCACUUAAAAUAAUAAUUAAAACUUCUCCUGAAAAAACAAUUUCAAUGUUUUUCUCAUUCCAUAAAAUUCCUUAGAAAUUUUUAAGAUAAUGCAAAGUUUUCCUAGUAAGAUUUUUUUUAUUUAAAUUGCAGCAAAGAUUACAUUGAAAAUCUUAAGAUUUGUUUGGAUUAUACUAGGUAUCCAAGUUAAUUGAAAUGAAACAAGGAAUCUAACUAAUUAAAAUUUAUGUCAAUGUUUUCAUUUUGUAUAUUAAAAGGAUGUUAAUUAGAAUUCUAUCAUUUUAUUUAUAAUUAAUAUAACAAGAUAUAUCAUUGAAAACAGGGUCCUAUUUAUAAAUUAUAUAAGCUAUUUAUUUUUUGGUUAUUGAACACCUCAAACAACAGCACCAGAUAAUAGGCAUUAAAAGUCAUGUCAUAAGUACAACAAAUUGUAAAUGAUAUUAUGCUUUUGAUAUAAUGUUACAUCCUCAUAAAUAAAUUGGUCUAUUCUUUUGAUGAUUGGCAAUGAUUAAUUAUCCUGCUUUUACAGCCACUUGAUAUACUGCUGUUCAAUGUAUACACAUGUGUUAACACACAGAGAUACAGCUUAUCUGAUCAAGAUAAGGACCAAUGAAAAUACAGGCUUCUGAACCGUUUUACACCUGUACACCAAAAAAUAAUCCCCAUCUUUCUGCUUGUUUUUUUCUCUGAGAUCUUUGCAAAUGCUGUGAGCAAAUAAAUGGUCAAAUUUUCACAUGAACUGUAUACUUAUAUAUUUUAAGAACAUAGAUAUUCCCUUCAGUAACUAUAUAUUGUACCAAAGAAAAUGGCUCAUGAAUACAAAAAUUUGAAUGUAAACAGGAAGUUCGUUGUUCAUGUUGUUGGAGGCAAAUGGAAUAAAGCUAACUUGAAACUCUAAAAUGCUUUUAGAGAGAUAUCAGAUGAAAGAGUGUGCAUAUAUCUAGUUAUCAGAGGUAUAUGCCUAUAUGUAUGAAUUGAUGUAGUUGGAGAAAUCAGAUUGCUUCAGUGCAUGACUAUGCUACAGGAUGAUACAAGAUCACAGACAGAAAUUUGAUCAAGGAUCAAACAUAAAUUACAUAAUACUUCAACUAAAUUAAAUGCAUGGCUGGAAUGAAGUUCCUGACCCUGGUGAUCAUUUUGGAAAAGCAAAGAGACAUUCUGAUGCCACCUUGUAUUGAGCCUGCAAUACUCCAAAAUGAUUUUGUUGUAUUCAUAAUUUUCUAUCAAAUAAUCUUUUAGUUUAAUUUUCAAAUUUAAGCUAAGUGAAUUUUUAUUAUUUUUAACCAGAAGUGUAAAAGCCGCUGGCAGAUGUGUUAUUCCCCUUUGAAUUUUAUUCUUUUUGUUUUUUUAUGAAACCCAGAUCUGUCUCAACAUUAGAUUAAAAUAAUUUUGUAAUGAUACUAUUUCUUCUUUUUUUUGUUUUGUGUCAAUAUCAGCAAUGUUUUCCAUUGGUUUUCCAUCAAACCUUUCCAAACUUUUGCAAAAAAUUCUUCUAAAAAAAUCCUUCAACUUUAAUGCGAUGAUUUCCAAUGUUAAAAGAGUUUCAUGGACUUUCAACUGCAUUUUCACAGGGCUGCUCCCAUGGGUAUGUGAGUUUAGAUUUAAAUUAAUUUUCAGACUUUUUUUUCAUGCCGUUUUUCCAAACUUUUCCAUGGAACAUGUACAGACGGGUGUUUUUGUGACAUAAACACUUUCUAGUUUUAGAUUAUGUUUGGGAUCAUGCAAGAUAUCUGGACAGUUUUUUUUAAAUUCAAAAUCAAGAAUUUAUUUAAUUCGGCAAAACAAACAUUUUGGUUAUAAUAUCUUUCAGUAUUUGUUCAUUGCUGUGAAAUUGAUAAUUGCAUGCAUUUAAAUAACUUUUUACAUUAUUCUUUUGAUCAUAAAUAUAUGUAUAAAAAUGUAUAUAUUGAUUUGUCAAUAGUGUUUGAUUAAUGUGUUCUUACGAAAACUUAAAUAAAAGGCAAUUGAGGAUAUACCUUUUAUUUAUGUUUUGAUAAAAGGUCUCUCUACCUUUUAUUCAUAUUUUGUUUCCUAUAUUUUACUUGCAAUUUGUUUCUCAUAUGUAAUAAAUGUGAAUGCCUUUUGUUAGUAUUUUGUUACUACCUUUUAUUCAUGUUUUGUUUCUUUGAAACAAAAUAUUAAUAAAAGGUCUCUCUGCCUUUUAUUCAUAUUUUGUUUCCUAUGUUUUAUUUGCAAUUUGUUUCUCAUGUAAUGAAUGUGAAUGCCUUUUGUUAGUAUUUUGUUACUACCUUUUAUUCAUGUUUUAUUUGCCUUUUGUUAUCUCAUUUGCAUAUCAUUUGCUAGGCUAAUAAAAGGUCUUCAAAACAUAACAU